AUGAACCGAGACAACACCAAGAGCAUGAAGCUCGCCGCAACACAAUGGCAUCCAUGGAAGGGUCAUGAGCAUGCACAACAACAUGGGCGACACACCAGACGAUGGGCAGGGGCAGAUGAAAGGCAGCGAAGGGCUCAGCGAAGAGGCGAAGUCGAAUGUGGUACGAGGUGGAUGGGAGGCGAUGAGAGAAUUGAAGCAAACUCGAGAGGUCAAACAGAGGGCAAAGGAAUUCACCAUACGAACAUAAAGGGGAUGCAGACCGCACAAUCAACAUGGAGGAGCGGCAUGAGUGCGCCGCCGUAG
rnacentral:rRNA from 1 species